CAGCAGCCGCGGUAAAACGUAGGUGGCAAGCGUUGUCCGGAAUUAUUGGGCGUAAAGGGCUCGCAGGCGGUUUCUUAAGUCUGAUGUGAAAGCCCCCGGCUCAACCGGGGAGGGUCAUUGGAAACUGGGAAACUUGAGUGCAGAAGAGGAGAGUGGAAUUCCACGUGUAGCGGUGAAAUGCGUAGAGAUGUGGAGGAACACCAGUGGCGAAGGCGACUCUCUGGUCUGUAACUGACGCUGAGGAGCGAAAGCGUGGGGAGCGAACAGGAUUAGAUACCCCGGUAGUCCCUGUCUCUUAUAC
rnacentral:rRNA from 1 species